GGAGUAUAGCUCGGUGGUAGAGUGUGUGCCUAGCAUGCACAAGGUCAUGGGUCCAAUCCCCAGUACCUCCA
rnacentral:tRNA from 1 species